GCCCCAGUAGCUCAACGGACAGAGCGCCUGACUUCGGAUCAGUAGGUUGUGGGUUCGAAUCCUGCCUGGGGCG
rnacentral:tRNA from 1 species